UAUUAAUUCGACUGAGUUGAGGUAAGAACAUAGUAAAAUAUUGAAAAACAGUGGUGUUUUCCUUUAAAGUAAAACAAAAGUAUAUGUUGAUUUGAUAUUAUUUUUACAGUAUUCAUAUGUUUGCAUUUUUACAGGAAAAUCUGUAGGGGCACUCCUUUUGUAUGCAUCAGUUGUUAAUUUUAUUUUCUAAUUAUAUUUACAUCCCAUUUAGUUAUUUAGCAGACAUUUGUGAUGUACAUCACAAGGAAUUUGACAAGUAAAAGGUACAAUAGCUGUACUAUUACAAUUCCAUGCCAGAAUAUUAAAAUAAACUAAAGGAAGCCACUUUAAGUAUGUACCUCAAUUGGCAGAGCAUUGCAUUAGCUGUGGAAAAAGUCAUGGGUUCAAUCUUCAGGGAGCUCCAAGUCAGUUUGGAUAAAAACAUCUGCCAAAUGCAUAAACGGAAAUGCAAGGACACAUUAUUUUUUUAAUAAAUCAAAUAAUGUAGUAUAGUGACGUUUGAUUUAACAUAUUGGACCAAUAUCAUUAUGCAUUGCAAAUAUUGAGAUUGUCUGCUCUUGACAGGUCUGUGACCUUAGUCUCUGACCCCAGAAUCUUCCCUACAGGCAGCAGUGUGUCCAGAAGCCAUGUUUGAGGUCUGUUCUGCUUGUUUAUGUAUGGUUACACCCAGAGCUGAAUUUAUCCCCAGCUUCCAUCUGCAGCAGCAGGCCCGUGCAUGGAGAUGAGACUGGUUUAGGUCGGUUUGUGCCGCACGCCGGCUUCUAAGCACAACUUCCCUCUAUGUGUUAUUAUCGUCGAGGCGUCUCCUCUGUGGCGAUAUUCUUUUUUAGACAAUUUCUUUUUUUUCUAUGCUUACGUUGACUGGGAUAGUUCACCCAAAAAUUAAAAACCUGCCACCAUUUACUCACCCUUAUGUUGUUCCAAACCUGUCCAACUUUCCCUUUUGUGAUUUGGGAUCUAAAUCUCCUUUUGUGUCCCACAGAUAUGCCUUUUAUGUUUGAAACAACAUAUUGGUAAGUCAAUCAAAAUUAUGGGUGAACUAACUAACUUUUUUAGCUUCUUUAUAUUUCCAUUUAAUGUAAUAUUCAAAUUCCAAGUCAAAAGCUUAUAUCAAGUACCAAAUAAUAAUGGUAAUUCUUUCAUUUAGGCAGUGUCACUCGUACGACAAUACCUUGGCCUAUAUCAUUAAUCAGCCUCUAUUAAAUCUUUGUUACAUUCACACUAAUAUGUCAAUCCGCUUUGUUUUGAAAUGACGGUAGUCACUCCUAAACGGAUGCUGUUCCUCCCUCUUCACCAUGCCACAGAGCUGGUAUUCUGGGUUUCAGCAUGCCCUAUUGGCCUAGCCACAGCCAGGCAACCUUUCAUUACACUAGCCGAGGGAGGUGCCCUGGACAUCCCCAUCGAAGACAGCAUCACCACACCCCAAAAACUGCUGGAACAAGUAUCCUCGGAUCUAUGUAGACUUCGACAAGAGCGAAAGACAAAGGUCUCUCUGUACAUAUACAUUUCCAAAUGUAGAGUCAACUGAACCACUUCUAAAUCUAAAAGCGUUGUGAUAAUGUUAAGGUGUGUCUUUCCUAAUUGACAUCACUCUAAAAACAACAGGUGCUAUAUGGGACCAAAAGUGGUUCUUUGGUCGUAAUCAUAGAAGAACCGUUUUUAGUGCCAUACAGCACCGAUGAAGCACCUGUGAAGCAUCUGUGUAGAACCAAAUAGUGCUAUGUACAACCAUAUGUGGUGCUAUAUGGCCCCCAUAUGGUUCUACACAGGUGCUUUUUCUCAUUCAUAAAAUUACAAUUGCCAUUUCAGACUGACAUGCCAUUGAUGGAACCACAUCGCCCCCUUCUGACGUAAAAUAACUUAAGGUCACCAGAGGGCAGUAUGGUCAUAUUUUGGACCAAAGAUGUUUCUGGACCAAAUGAACAGCACAACCAGAAUUCUUCUACUUUGUGGGGACCAGGCAACAGUUUCUACAAGGAAAUUACAUCCAAAAUAACGGAGUCUCGGCGGACUAAUCCGGAUGCUGAACUGAGCAUCAGCAGCUGCUCCUUAUCCUAAUCAUCGCCGUAGCGACCGGCCAGCCGCCAGAAUCCUGUGGGGACCUGAAUUAAUACUCUGCGUAAUUCCACACAAUCCCAAGAAAAAAUCUAGUCCUGCUGCCGGGCCACUUGACUUUUGUGUUUCAGUGAGCUCUGGAUGGCACCAGCAAUCUUUGUAAUCGGUCAGUAAGCCUCUGCGCUGCUCAGUUUAACUGCUUCUGCAGGGCAUGUGAACAAAAAGAGCAGAGCUGGGGUGAAUAUUAUCUCACAUACAUGUGUGUUUAUACUGUAAAGUAUUUUAUAUAGGUUGCCUUACCAUGGGUUUCGUAUGUAAAUCCAUAUGCUAAGACAUAAGACCCUCAUCAACCAAAAUGAGAUAUUGUAAGUGUGGACACAAUAUCUCUCAAAAGAUUUGAACUAAUCUGUUAAGGUGUGUCUUCAUGUUUGAUAAUUUAUGUCAAGAUUUGGAUCAGGAUGACAAAAGGAUGAUAAAAGGAGAGUUCUCCCAAAAAUGAAAAAUCAUUUACUGACCCUCAAGUGGUUUCAACCUUGUAUAAAUCUCUUUAUUCUGCCAAACACAAAUGUAGAUAUUUUGAAAAAUUACAUUAUGUUUUAAAAAUGCUUGUAACCAAACAGAUACAGGGCACCAUUGACUUGCACCAUAAUAUUGUUUUUUCCUACUAUGGAAGUGCCCCAGAUCUGCUUGGUUACACUUUAAAAAGUUGGAUCAACUUAAAAAUUGAUUUAAUUUGUAACACCUUAAAUAAGUUAAAGGAAUAGUCUACUCAUUUUCAAUAUUAAAAUAUGUUACUUUAACUAAGAAUUGUUGAUACAUCCCUCUAUCAUCUGUGUGCGUGCACGUAAGUGCUGGAGCGUGCUGCGACGCUUCGAUAGCAUGUAGCUUAGCCCCAUUCAUUCAAUGGUACCAUUUAGAGAUAAAGUUAGAAGUGACCAAACACAUCAACGUUUUUCCUAUUUAAGACGAGUAGUCAUACGAGCAAGUUUGGUGGUACAAAAUAAAACGUAGCGCUUUUCGAAGCGGAUUUAAAAGAGGAGC